UCUCUGGUAGUAUAGUGGUUAGUAUUCCCGCCUGUCAUUACCGGUGCGCGGGCGACCGGGGUUCAAUUCCCCGCCAGAGAG